GAUGAACGCUGGCGGCGUGCCUAAUACAUGCAAGUCGAGCGAACAGACGAGGAGCUUGCUCCUCUGACGUUAGCGGCGGACGGGUGAGUAACACGUGGAUAACCUACCUAUAAGACUGGGAUAACUUCGGGAAACCGGAGCUAAUACCGGAUAAUAUAUUGAACCGCAUGGUUCAAUAGUGAAAGACGGUUUUGCUGUCACUUAUAGAUGGAUCCGCGCCGCAUUAGCUAGUUGGUAAGGUAACGGCUUACCAAGGCAACGAUGCGUAGCCGACCUGAGAGGGUGAUCGGGCACACUGGAACUGAGACACGGUCCAGACUCCUACGGGAGGCAGCAGUAGGGAAUCUUACGAAAUGGGCGAAAGCCUGACGGAGCAACGCCGAGUGAGUGAUGAAGGUCUUCGGAGCGUAAAACUCUGUUAUUAGGGAAAAACAAAUGUGUAAGUAACUAUGCACGUAUUGACGGUACCUAAUCAGAAAGCCACGGCUAACUACGUG
rnacentral:rRNA from 1 species